AUUGAACGCUGGCGGCAUGCUUUACACAUGCAAGUCGAACGGUAACAGGCCGCAAGGUGCUGACGAGUGGCGAACGGGUGAGUAAUGCAUCGGAACGUGCCCAGUCGUGGGGGAUAACUACUCGAAAGAGUAGCUAAUACCGCAUGCGAUCUAUGGAUGAAAGCGGGGGACCGUAAGGCCUCGCGCGAUUGGAGCGGCCGAUGUCAGAUUAGGUAGUUGGUGGGGUAAAGGCUCACCAAGCCAACGAUCUGUAGCUGGUCUGAGAGGACGACCAGCCACACUGGGACUGAGACACGGCCCAGACUCCUACGGGAGGCAGCAGUGGGGAAUUUUGGACAAUGGGCGCAAGCCUGAUCCAGCAAUGCCGCGUGCAGGAAGAAGGCCUUCGGGUUGUAAACUGCUUUUGUACGGAACGAAACGGCUCUGGUUAAUACCCGGGGCUAAUGACGGUACCGUAAGAAUAAGCACCGGCUAACUACGUG
rnacentral:rRNA from 1 species